GUGUUAACCAAUACCCGUUGUUGCCUUGAAAAACACUAAGCAUAGCAGCAGCGACUUUUUCCCUGGUGUUGGCGCAGUAUUAGCGCACCCCGGCCUCGGC
rnacentral:sRNA from 3 species